rnacentral:lncRNA from 1 species
AAGGAAAGGAGGUCGUGGCUGCAGGAUUGCAUUGCUCUUCGGGAGAGCAAAAUAAUAAUAAAACAACCCAAACGGUGUGCAGGAGGGCUGCCAAGCCGAGGGUGCAGCCGGGACAUCAGCUCCUUUAACCCAGCUCUGCGCUCAACCCGCCCCGGGGAAAACCUGCUGGAAUCCACACAGCCACUGUGAGCUGGGUCACCACCCCCAUUUUACAGAUGGGGAAACUGAGGCUCACUAGAACGAAGAAGGCGAACCCAGGAGGUGGAUACCAGCGCCUCUGCACGCCCGGCCAGCAAAGCAGAGAACCCCUUGGAAAACUGCUGCUGCCAGCUCGUGCCUCGCAAGGCAGGGGCGGCAGCCGGAUGACGUCUGCGUUGACAGACUGGUUGUUCCUCCUGAUUCUUCCAGGCCACACGACAGCUGCAUAUUAAACUCAGGCUCGUGUAUCCAGCCCAGAGUCCCGUGGAGCAUUUGCAGCAGGAAAGAGCCACGGGGCCUGAUUGAUCAUCGGGGAGGUGCGGAGACAGUGUGAGAGGCCCCAGAGCACGCGAAGAUGGGUGAGGAGGCAGAUGUGGUCCUCCAGGAAGGAGACGGAGGUGGACCGGGGGUUGCGACAUCCAUGGGAGAACCGGGCUUGAGAAGUUUUGGGCGAGAAUCCAAGAGCAGACGCAUAGACUUGAGGAGGGAGAGGGGCUUCAAGGACCCACCCAGGUUUCUGGUUUUUCCUGGGAGGCCCCGAGUCAUGCUGGGAUGGAAGAAGAUGCUUACAAAUGAGGCUUCAAUCAGCUUGAGUGGUGGCCACAUGAUGUGGUCAGUCUGACAAGGGCCCACGAGCUGAAAGGGGCCCCUCACCUCCUGUCCACAGAGGUCCAGGGUGAGUCUGUCCCCAAAGUGCAACCAAGGAGACAGGAAGCCCCCCCUGACCCACUCCCACCCCAGCCCACUGGACAACGGCCUUGUGCUUGAAAUGGGAGCAGAGUCAGUCCACACCCGAAACCCCGAGAUGCCGUGGGGUCGCGCCAUCCAGACACUGGGGCCUCUUCUGUGUCUGUGCGUGUGUCCUGGAGCCGGUAUGCAGCUGGUCGCAUUUUCAACUACAAGUUAAAAGAGAAAGCAAAUAGUUCCUAAAAAUGAAAGUGUGAGAGAUAGGGCUCAAGUUCCUGCUGACCGCCCC